rnacentral:rRNA from 2 species
GAUGAACGCGGGCGGUGUGCUUAAUACAUGCAAGUCGAGCGCACUGGCCCAAUGAUAUGACGUGCUUGCACUGAUUUGACGAUGGAUUACCAGUGAGCGGCGGACGGGUGAGUAACACGUGGGCAACCUGCCCUGGAGCGGGGGAUAACAUCUGGAAACAGGUGCUAAUACCGCAUGACUACUAAAACCACCUGGUUUUAGUAUAAAAGAAGGCUUCGGCUUUCACUCUAGGAUGGGCCCGCGGUGCAUUAGCUAGUUGGUAAGGUAACGGCUUACCAAGGCGAUGAUGCAUAGCCGAGUUGAGAGACUGAUCGGCCACAAUGGAACUGAGACACGGUCCAUACUCCUACGGGAGGCAGCAGUAGGGAAUCUUCCACAAUGGGCGCAAGCCUGAUGGAGCAACACCGCGUGAGUGAAGAAGGGUUUCGGCUCGUAAAGCUCUGUUGUUGAAGAAGAACGUGCGUGAGAGUAACUGUUCACGCAGUGACG